CACGUAGGGGGCGAGCGUUGUCCGGAUUCAUUGGGCGUAAAGGGCGCGCAGGCGGCUCGGCAAGUCGGGUGUGAAAUCUCCGAGCUUAACUCGGAAAGGUCAACUGAUACUGUGCGGCUAGAGUGCGGAAGGGGCAACUGGAAUUCCUGGUGUAGCGGUGAAAUGCGUAGAUAUCAGGAGGAACACCUGUGGUGGAGACAGCUUACUGGACCAUAACUGACGCUGAGGCACGAAAGCGUGGGUAGCAAACAGG
rnacentral:rRNA from 1 species